GGGCGCAUGGUGUAGUUGGUUAUCACAUCCGCUUAGCAGGUACACACCUGAAAGAUGCGGGGGGUGCUGGGUUCAAUUCCCAGUGCGUCCA
rnacentral:tRNA from 1 species